AGUAACACGUGGGUAACCUGCCUUAUAGUGGGGGAUAGCCUUUCGAAAGGAAGAUUAAUACCGCAUAAGAUUGUAGUAUCGCAUGGUAUAGCAAUUAAAGGAGCAAUUCGCUAUAAGAUGGACCCGCGUCGCAUUAGCUAGUUGGUGAGGUAAUGGCUCACCAAGGCGACGAUGCGUAGCCGACCUGAGAGGGUGAUCGGCCACAUUGGGACUGAGACACGGCCCAGACUCCUACGGGAGGCAGCAUG
rnacentral:rRNA from 1 species